rnacentral:rRNA from 1 species
CUGGCUCAGGAUGAACGCUAGCGGCAGGCUUAACACAUGCAAGUCGAGGGGCAUCGGGAGUAGCAAUACUUGCCGGCGACCGGCGCAAGGGUGCGUAACGCGUGAGCAACAUGCCCGUAUCAGGGGGAUAAUCCAUGGAAACGUGGUCUAAUACCCCAUAGUAAUUAUGUAAGGCAUCUUAUAUAAUUUAAAGCUUUGGUGGAUACGGAUUGGCUCGCGUGACAUUAGCUGGAUGGUAAGGUAACGGCUUACCAUGGCUACGAUGUCUAGGGGUUCUGAGAGGAAGGUCCCCCACACUGGAACUGAGACACGGUCCAGACUCCUACGGGAGGCAGCAGUGAGGAAUAUUGGACAAUGGAUGGAAAUCUGAUCCAGCCAUGCCGCGUGCAGGAAGACGGCCCUAUGGGUUGUAAACUGCUUUUGUAUGGGAGCAAUAAGGGCUACGCGUAGUCCGAUGAGAGUACCAUACGAAUAAGCACCGGCUAACUCCGUGCCAGCCGCGGC